CAAUCCCAAUAUGGACAGACAUACUAAUGGGAAGAUUUCAGCAAUACGAAAAGAUGGAUGGACUAUAUCAAUUUCUGAGAAAUAAAGGAGGCAUCAGACGGAUACAUAUGCUCGUCAAACCAUGUACUCACAGUUGAAAAAGGCCCUAAAAGGCAUAGCACUAAAAGGCCCAGCAACAUUGGCAAAGGACACUCAUCUGGUGCUGGAAGCUGGGGACCUCCGGUAGGGGGAGGACACGACCUGAUACCUGCCAAAUGGGUGCGAGUGAAGAAGAUACCCUGCCAGACGUUGCAUCCCUGUUGAGAGGGUCCAUAUCAAGUUCUGACUACUGACUCUGCCAUCCGAGUGACAGGAUGAGAUCUCUGGAUCCACUCGUCGCACUGUCACUGAGCCACUGCACCAGAGAGUACUGAGAGUCAAACAGGGAAGCUAAGCAAGUGCUAUUGUAAA